rnacentral:siRNA from 1 species
AAACCAUUUUAUUCACCUUCUUU